CACUCCAUAACAGAAACACUCACAGGUCCUCACAAACACUCAAUAACGGAAACACUCACAGGUCCUCACAAACACUCGAUAACGGAAACACUCACAGGUCCUCACAAACACUCGGAAACACUCACAGGUCCUCACAAACACUCCAUAACAGAAACACUCACAGGUCCUCA